rnacentral:lncRNA from 1 species
UUCACCCAUCAAAUAAAUCCAAGUGGGAAAACACAAAGUUGCCGACACACGAGAUCGGAAUCGGAUACAAACGGGCCCAAUCGCGGGUCACCCCGGUUCGGUUUGGUUCUGAAGGACCCCGCGCCUGCAGCUGGAGCGCAAACCCAAAUCUGCUCUGUUCUAUUCGGGAGCGCGUCCGGCGCCGGGAUUUCUCGAUCAGAAAAUAACCUCUGCAAGGGAAAAAACUCUCUCCGAACGAGUCAUGUGGGUUUUGUUUUCCUUAAGGAAAGCAGCCCUCGCAGCGGGAAUGCUUGUCAGCCUCCAGCCAUCCACAACAACGCUCUUUUCUCCCCGCGCUCCUCCUUUUCGCUCUCAGCCCUGGCGUCGCCGUGUCUCCCGCAUCCCGCCGAUGGGCACCGUCCCGGGGGAUGCCUCCCACCCUCCCUCCCUCCCGGUGGUGAUGCCGCCCGCACCGCCGGCCCCAGGUGCGCCGCCCGACCCCGGCACGAACUUUGGGCACCGCGCUGCGUCCCGGGACGCGGCCGGGAUCCCGGCUCUUACCUGCCACCGUUGCGGGCUGGGUGGGGGUCUCGGCGCGCCGCGGGCGGGAGCGGGGCUGGGGCUGCAGCUGCGCGGCGGCGGCGGGGCCAGGGCGCAGCGCGGCAGCGGCAGCGGCAGCAGCAGCCCCGGCCGGCGUCAGUCAGGCGGGAGCCGCCAGCCUGUAUUAGUGCGCCGGGCUGGAGCGCGGCCAGCAGCGCCGCUGCCGCCGGCCCGCCCCUGCGCUCCCCCCGCCGCCCGCCUCGCGCGCACACUCGCUCUUUUUCCCUCUCUCUCUCACACACACACACUACAUGGAGUGUGACACACUCAUACAGUUCACCCUCCGCACCCACUGCGCGCCGCUCGCCCCGCUCACUCUCUGCAUCGCACCCAUCCCGGUCCCCGAGCGCCGCCAUUUCCCGCCCCGUCUCUCUAGGGGCAGAAGCCGGGCCUGGGCACCCCGAGGGGGCGAGGAGAAGCGCACAGCCCUCCCUUCCCGAGUGUCCCUCCGGGGAUGUGACCAGACCCCUCACAAAUGGCUCCGAGCACCGCGGGGUGGCUGUGAGGGGGACACUGGGACAGUGCCCUGUGAGGGAGCUGGGCUCCGGUUGUACCUCCCCGGGCUGUGCGGGACCACCAGCUCUCCUCAGGAUCCUCUGCCUGGAUGACACACCGGGGAUGUCAGUAUUGGAGGUGUCCUCUUCGUCCCACGGUCACAGCAGUGCUUGUGGCUGUGGGAUCCAGCUGCUGGGGUCCCACCAGCCCAGCAGGCAGUGCCUGGAAUUUUGCUGCCCAAUGGUUUUGUGA